CUACGUUUAAAAGGAGGCAGAAAGUGAGAAUGUUCCAAUUUUACGACAUUGAAUAGUUCUCUCAAUUCCGCUAAACAAAGCUCUCUACUACUUAAUCCUUCAUGCACAUUUUCCUUUAACUACCCAAAAAGUUGAAAAUGGUAGUAGUAGGGUUAGGGCUACAAUAAACAACAAUAGUACUAUCAUCCUUCACUAUACACCCAUACCCAUAUCGAUAACUGUAACGACGACUGCGUAGAUUUGUACUACUUACUCUUUUUCUAUAUCCACUAAUUGAAGUGGUAGUGAAUUGAUUGAUAUGACCCCUCUAUAUUCAGUGAUGAUUGACAAAAAAGGGACUGAAAUUUGCAUACUUUUUCUAUAUCCACUAAUUGAAGUGGUAGUGAAUUGAUUGAUAUGACCCUUCUAUAUUCAGUGAUGAUUGACAAAAAAGGGACUGAAAUUUGCAUAUGAACAGAUUUUAAAUGGGAUAUGGGUGGUUACUGUUUGAUUCUGGAGUGAUUUUAUUGGAUACUUUUUCAUUAUUGUGGUAUUGAAAGUGAUAUUUUGUGUAAAGGGUCACUUAAAAAACAAGGGAAAGGAAUGAAUGGAUGAUGCUGGUUUAAGAGAAAUUUUUCCAUAUGAAGAGAUUUGGGAUUUGUUUUUUCAUACUGGGGAGGCUAUGUUUUUUUGUGGUUGUGUUACUGAAGUAUUGUUUUGGGUAUACGGUUACUGUUACUUUUCCUCUUUAUUCGUGUUCGUGUACUAACUGAAGAGGAUUCGGGGUGAGUUGUUUAUGGUAGUGUUGAAGGAAAAAAAAGGGGAACAGAAGUAGUAGUAGUAUUUGUAUAGCAUUCGGGGAAUUGGGGCGCGUCUUUUGCUGUAGUACUGAAGGAAAAAAAGAAGAAGAAAUAGUAACUAAGCAUUUUUGGGGUUAGUUAUUUACUGUAGUACUGAAGGAAAAAAGGGAGAAAAGGAAGGAGUACCAACUGGAGAGCAUUUAUUGUUUUUGGUAGUGUGGAAGGA
rnacentral:lncRNA from 1 species